UACGUAGGGGGCUAGCGUUGUCCGGAUUCAUUGGGCGUAAAGAGCUCGUAGGCGGUUCAGCAAGUCGGGUGUGAAACCUCCAGGCUCAACCUGGAGACGCCACCCGAUACUGCUGUGACUUGAGUCCGGUAGGGGACCACGGAAUUCCUGGUGUAGCGGUGAAAUGCGCAGAUAUCAGGAGGAACACCGGUGGCGAAGGCGGUGGUCUGGGCCGGCACUGACGCUGAGGAGCGAAAGCGUGGGGAGCGAACAGG
rnacentral:rRNA from 1 species